rnacentral:rRNA from 1 species
UACGUAGGUGGCAAGCGUUGUCCGGAUUUACUGGGCGUAAAGAGCGCGCAGGCGGUCGAAUAAGCCGAAUGUGAAAGCCCCCGGCUUAACUGGGGAGGGUCAUUCGAUACUGCUCGACUUGAAGGCAGGAGAGGGUAGUGGAAUUCCCGGUGUAGCGGUGAAAUGCGUAGAGAUCGGGAGGAACACCAGAGGCGAAGGCGGCGACCUGGACAGGUACUGACACUCAACUACGAAAGCGUGGGGAGCAAACAGG